rnacentral:lncRNA from 1 species
UCACUUUUUUCAUUCAAUUGUAAUUGAAUCAAUUAUGGGGUUGGGCUUUAUCCCAACUGAAAUUAUCAAAUCCAGUACAACUGCCCAUACUUCAGAAAUAGGUAUUUUUCAUUUGAACAAAAAGACGAAUCUACCCCUCUCACAUAAACAAUCAUCUCUCUCACGAUUCUCUUUCUUUUCUUCAGAAAAAUUCUUUUAACAAUUCCCAGAUCUCUCCGUCGUGGCUUGAAGAAAGAUUUAUCGACCGCCAUGAUUGUAAAAUCAAUUCGGUGAACGAAAUUGUGAACACGAUGAUAAAUCCGGUGAACGAGAUGGUGGUAACGAUGAUAGGAUUCGGUGACGACGAUGAGAUUCAAUGACAAUGAUGAGAUUCAGUGACGAUGAGGAGACGAGAAGAAUAAAACGACACUGGAAAUUAGAUGAUGGUGAUGACGAGAUCCGGUGACAACGGUGGUUAGCGACUUAUGACCGGCGGCGAUGACGAUGGUGAAGAUGAAUUGGAAAUUUUGAUUCAAUUAGUGUUUAUAAUUGGAGCCCUUGGGUUUAGUAGAUACUAUUAGGGUUUAGUUUUGUAUUUAAAAAAGCAAUUGACUCCAUUGAGUUCGUCGGAGAUGGAGAUGGUGUUUGAAAUUGACGGACGACGACGUUGCCGGAGGUUGUGUUGAUUGAGACCAAAAUUCAAGGAUAAAUGAGUAAUUCCAUUGAGUCUAGAAAUACUUAAAUCUGAAGGUCUGAUACUCGUUCCUUUUUUUUAAUUUUUGGGUCAAAAAAUGCCUAAAUCAGCAAUAUUCCCAUUGUAAUUUGCGUCACUAGAAAAUAGUAGUAUUAUUUUGCAAAACACAUUAACACUAAGAAUAAAUACAAAACACAUUAACUUUAGAAAGGAUGAUAUGCAUUUGUCAUUUGUGAAUCCCUUGCAUAUGCGUUCCCACUUCCCAGACUUGAAAUACUGCGAGUCGAAAAAAACUUUCGAAGUUUCGGGUUAACAAAAAGAAAAUCAUUGAGGAAAUAAGACAAACGGGCCAAAAGGCCCAACUUAAGCCCACACAGAAGGUUAUACUGUGGUUGGAGAUAACAAGAUAUUCGCUCUUCCGGUAAAAAUGCUAGACGACAGAAAAAAA